rnacentral:rRNA from 1 species
CCUACGGGCGGCUGCAGUGGGGAAUAUUGGACAAUGGGCGAAAGCCUGAUCCAGCCAUGCCGCGUGUGUGAAGAAGGCCUUCGGGUUGUAAAGCACUUUCAGUGGGGAAGAAAGCCUUGGGGCUAAUACCCUCGAGGAAGGACAUCACCCACAGAAGAAGCACCGGCUAACUCCGUGCCAGCAGCCGCGGUAAUACGGAGGGUGCGAGCGUUAAUCGGAAUUACUGGGCGUAAAGCGCGCGUAGGCGGUCUGAUAAGCCGGUUGUGAAAGCCCCGGGCUCAACCUGGGAACGGCAUCCGGAACUGUCAGGCUAGAGUGCAGGAGAGGAAGGUAGAAUUCCCGGUGUAGCGGUGAAAUGCGUAGAGAUCGGGAGGAAUACCAGUGGCGAAGGCGGCCUUCUGGACUGACACUGACGCUGAGGUGCGAAAGCGUGGGUAGCAAACAGGAUUAGAUACCCGGGUAGU